GACGAACGCUGGCGGCGUGCCUAACACAUGCAAGUCGAGCGGGGAGGAGGAAGCUUGCUUCCGAAUCCUAGCGGCGGACGGGUGAGUAACGCGUGAGCAACCUGCCUCAAACUGGGGGAUAACGCAUCGAAAGAUGUGCUAAUACCGCGUAAGACCACGGUACCGCAUGGUACAGAGGUCAAAGGAGCAAUCCGGUUUGAGAUGGGCUCGCGUCCGAUUAGCUAGUUGGCGGGAUAACAGCCCACCAAGGCGACGAUCGGUAGCCGACCUGAGAGGGUGAUCGGCCACAUUGGAACUGAGAUACGGUCCAG
rnacentral:rRNA from 1 species